rnacentral:rRNA from 1 species
UACGUAGGUGGCAAGCGUUGUCCGGAUUUACUGGGCGUAAAGGGCGUGCAGGCGGUCUGUUAAGUGCAGGGUGAAAGCUCCCGGCUCAACUGGGAGAGGUCCUUGCAUACUGGCGGACUUGAGGGGGGUAGAGGAAAGUGGAAUUCCCGGUGUAGCGGUGAAAUGCGCAGAUAUCGGGAGGAACACCAGUAGCGAAGGCGGUCUGCUGGGCAGUUGCUGACACUGAGGCGCGACAGCGUGGGGAGCAAACAGG